UUUUUGUGCAUGCAGUCUUCCCUUAUGUAGUUUCUAGCAUUUUACCCGUAUCUCUCCCUUCCCUGUAACAUCAAUCUAGUUUUGUAGGUCUCCUUACCGUCACUGUUGACUCAGUGGCUCUCCUGUCCAGUGACUUUGCCCUGCGGUACUGUGGAAGAGUCACGGCUGAAACAUCUGGAGGAGAGCUGACUUGGUCUGACUCCGAUACAAAAUCCUACGAUGGUAGAUCACAAAUAACCAAAGAUGACGACCAGGCUUUGGGGGAUUAGGAGAUGAGUUCCUCAUCACAGAAUUCCCAGUUUUUAUAGCAGUGUUUCUGCAGCAGCUCUAAGUCUUACUGUAAAUGGAUACAGAGCAGCUUCAGUAUCUGAGGAGCUAUAAAUGGCCCUGACUACAAUGCAAUUGUCAGCACAGGUCCCCACUUCUGUCCUUAUUUGGAUGGAAACUCACUGAUAAACAGCAAAAGAUGCUGGAUCUAAGACAUUGCCCUGUGAACUCCUGCAGCAAUAUCUGGGGUUGAGAUGAUUCGGCUGCAAAUAAGCGACUUCAAGCUUUUCCCCAUAAUUUCAAUAACUUCCAACUUUGUUAUCACUCCACAAUUCAACAAUGAAUCAAAAACAUCCUUGUACCCGAAUAAUCCAUUUCACCUCUGCAAUUCAGCUCUUUUGUCGAGAUUUCGACCAAGGCUGUAAUGAGCUAGGUAACACUGGGGAAUUCAAACUCUUGAGUAUUAGCAAGUAGAUUAUUGACCUCUGGGGUCCAUGCACAGCAGCAAGUCCUGAGACCAGAAAUCAAUGCUGCGAUUGGUGGCAUCAGUCUCUAUGCACGGACGCUCAGAGUAGCUUAGAGGAAACAUUGUCCCAGAGCACUACUCCAGACCUCUGGAUCACUAGGCCAGUGAUAUUAUCACUGUUAUUCAUACCUCUAAUACAGAGGUUGUCAACUAUAAAGUUCACAGUAAAUGUUGCCUGAGUGAAUUUAAGAAGGCAUUUAACGAGGUGGCAUAUUUGGGACACAAGGCAUUAA